GACGAACGCUGGCGGCGUGCUUAACACAUGCAAGUCGAACGAUGAAGCCGGAGCUUGCUCCGGUGGAUUAGUGGCGAACGGGUGAGUAACACGUGAGCAAUCUGCCCUUGACUCUGGGAUAACUGCGGGAAACUGUAACUAAUACCGGAUACGACACCUUGGGGCAUCCCAGGGUGUGGAAAGAAUUUCGGUCAAGGAUGAGCUCGCGGCCUAUCAGCUAGUUGGUGAGGUAAUGGCUCACCAAGGCGACGACGGGUAGCCGGCCUGAGAGGGUGACCGGCCACACUGGAACUGAGACACAGUCCAGACUCCUACGGGAGGCAGCAGUGGGGAAUAUUGCACAAUGGGCGAAAGCCUGAUGCAGCAACGCCGCGUGAGGGAUGAAGGCCUUCGGGUUGUAAACCUCUUUUAGCAGGGAAGAAGCGAAAGUGACGGUACCUGCAGAAAAAGCACCGGCUAACUACGUGCCAGCCGCCGCCGUAA
rnacentral:rRNA from 1 species